GCUAUGCAUUAACGUGCAAUUAACUUCUCCCGGUUAAUUUCGGCCUUGUCCAGUUUCUGGACUUUGCAGAGCGGUUCUCCCUCUGUUUGACGCCUCCCUGUUAACUCCCGAGAGCCGCCCAUCCGACGGCUCUUUUCUU
rnacentral:sRNA from 1 species